UAGAAAUACACAAGAAACAUCUUUUUUUUUUUUUUUACUUUGAAGCUUGUUUUAUUAAAACACGCUCAAAACAUUGCCUUUCCUUCAUUUUGAUAUUUUCAAAAUAAAAGCAGAUCUUGAUAGUCGCACAACUUGUUAGGCCUAGUACUUCCCACUCAAGGGGGAGGGGCUUAUAGUUUGGUCGCCACUGCCUUUAUAAUACAUGUCCUUUAACAAAAGUGAGAAUAAGUUUCUGAAGUUCAGACAAUGUCAUUUACUUGCUUAGCCUAGUGUUGUUGUUAUUGUUGUUUUUUCUUGUAGCACUUUACUGCUUUCCUUGAAGGCCCAAAGCACUUUAUAGUCACUAUCCCAUUCACCCACACUCACAUUCCCACACUGAUGGCGGCUAUCCCAAACAAUGGCGCCAACAUAAAACCACCAGGAGCAAUGUGGAGUUCAGUGCCCAAGGACACUUCAACACAUGGGCGGGCGAGGCAGGAACCGAACCUGUCAUCUUCAAGGCAGAGGUCGACUGCACUACAUCCACACCACUGCCGUCACACACUUUAAGGAACACUUUAUGUGACAGACAGGGCUGUGGGUGGUAGUUUGUCCCUCAUGGUGUUCCAUAGAUGAACAUUCAUGGCCAGCACCUGUCUGUUGAGCUGUGAUUGGCUCACAAGGCUGAUAAAUAGCAGCUGUGGGAGUUCCAUCUAGAUGCUGGUUUCCUGGUUUGGCCUUGGUGGGUGAGCUUGACAUGUGGACCUUUUUUUUUUUUUUACUAAAGCUUUUAAUCAUUUGAGUCCUUUUACUAAAGUUUUUAGGCAUUUGAGUUUGCAAGAUUUUAAACUCUAUUUAUAUUAACAGGUGGUGGCAUGAGUUCUGACCCUGGGGCAUGAGAGGUAAUAUAAGGGUUUGUAAAACAUGUGUUUGUCCCAGGGGAGAACUAACUUAUUUUUCUUUUUCCAGCAGAGUUGCCACUGCUGUUUUGCUUAGUGUUUUUAGUCAUUGUUUUUAAUGUUUUAAUCAAGCUUGACACCCUUGCUUUUAUCCAUUUUUAAACUGUUUUGUGCUCAUUUUUAGUAUCUUGGUGUCUGGACCUGGCUGAGGGUGGCUGCCUCCUCCUUUUAUCCUUAUGGUAGCUGGUACUCCUGGUGUGAGUUGGAUCAGAGAUCUCCCUUGGUGGUGGUUGUGGCUACCCGCCAGUGCAGUGGGGCUGAGUCGAUCCAGGAGGCAGCCGCCCUCAUGCAGUGUUGGAGUGCGGUCCAACUGUCCGAGUCUAUUUUAACUUUCUCUUUUAUGGAAUUUGUGUCAAGUUUUUAAUAAAUUGUAUAUUUUU